rnacentral:rRNA from 1 species
UAGGGAAUCUUCGGCAAUGGACGAAAGUCUGACCGAGCAACGCCGCGUGAGGGAAGAAGGUUUUCGGAUCGUAAAACUCUGUUGUUAGAGAAGAACAAGGACGUUAGUAACUGAACGUCCCCUGACGGUAUCUAACCAGAAAGCCACGGCUAACUACGUGCCAGCAGCCGCGGUAAUACGUAGGUGGCAAGCGUUGUCCGGAUUUAUUGGGCGUAAAGCGAGCGCAGGCGGUUUCUUAAGUCUGAUGUGAAAGCCCCCGGCUCAACCGGGGAGGGUCAUUUGAAACUGGGAGACUUGAGUGCAGAAGAGGAGAGUGGAAUUCCAUGUGUAGCGGUGAAAUGCGUAGAUAUAUGGAGCAACACCAGUGGCGAAGGCGGCUCUCUGGUCUGUAACUGACGCUGAGGCUCGAAAGCGUGGGGAGCAAACAGG